GACGAAGGUGGCGAGCGUUGUUCGGAAUCACUGGGCAUAAAGCGCACGUAGGCGGCGACGUAAGUUGGGUGUGAAAUCCCCGGGCUUAACCUGGGAACUGCAUCUUAUACUGUAGGGCUGGAGUACUGUAGAGGAUAGUGGAAUUUCCGGUGUAGCGGUGAAAUGCGUAGAGAUCGGAAGGAACACCAGUGGCGAAGGCGACUGUCUGGACAGAUACUGACGCUGAGGCGCGAAAGCGUGGGGAGCAAACAGG
rnacentral:rRNA from 1 species